CCUACGGGUGGCAGCAGUGGGGAAUAUUGCACAAUGGGGGAAACCCUGAUGCAGCAACGCCGCGUGAGUGAGGAAGUAUUUCGGUAUGUAAAGCUCUAUCAGCAGGGAAUAGAAAAGAAGGUACCUGAAAAAGAAGCCCCGGCUAACUACGUGCCAGCAGCCGCGGUAAUACGUAGGGGGCAAGCGUUAUCCGGAUUUACUGGGUGUAAAGGGAGCGUAGACGGAAAGGCAAGUCAGAAGUGAAAGCCCGGGGCUCAACUCCGUGACUGCUUUUUAAACUGUUGAACUAGAUUGCAGGAGAGGUAAGUGGAAUUCCUAGUGUAGCGGUGAGAUGCGUAGAUAUUAGGAGGAACACCAGUGGCGAAGGCGGCUUCCGACUGACGCUGAAGCACAAAAGCGUGGGGAUCGAACAGGAUUAGAUACCCCUGUAGUC
rnacentral:rRNA from 1 species